rnacentral:lncRNA from 1 species
AGUACGUGCCGGCCGAGCCGCAGAUCACCAUUCUGAAGCGGCCCGACCCGGGUCUCGGCGGCCGGCCGGCCCAGGGCGAGCGUGCUCGUCAGCCGGCCAAGUCGCUGCAGCAGCGAGAGGCCGAAUAUGCUGAGGCCCGGCAACGAAUAUUGGGUAGCAGUGGUCUACUGGAGAAGACGACGGGACCAGACAGGGCGGCGCCGCCGGUGGAGCUGCUGCGCAGCAGGGAGGCGGCAGCGGUAACCCGUCUGCCGCGUGGCCCGGACGACACGGCCGGCUUCCAGCUGCCCAGAUAACGCCCACGCCGGCCAGCCGCCAGCUAUUUUUGUACGGAAAGCCACGCGCCCGGCGUUAGGAGUCGGCAGCGGCGCCAUCUCCGGCGCGUGUGACCCGGAGCGGGGUGUUCUGCGCGGCACGAGCGCCGCCGGACGCCGAUGACUGUGAUUGUGCAGGUGAUGCGGCGACGGGGGUGUGCGGUGUCGUGGUGGACGCUGGAGACACCGCGAACGGGCGUGUCUGCGCGGCCGGGUGUCCGCGCGGGCGUGCUGGAGUGAAGUGAACUGCUGAGCGUUGGAGCGGACCACGCUGUCCGGGAAGACUUAUUUUUGGUCCGCGUUUGCCGACAAAGGUCUCGGAUGUGAUUUUCUCUGCCUGGAUUUGCCGGUUGCCAAGUCCCUGGGCCACGUAACGCGCUUGGGUCCGCCUGCUCGCGCAUAUUCAGAUGUUUGUCACAUAGGUCACCGUGAUGAACUUGGCGCCAUAUCAGUAGUGGUGUGUAUUUCGGAUAGGUGGCCGCGCGCAGAUUGUAUCAGCCGCGGUUUCAGCAUCCAUUAAUCUAUGCAGCGGAGUGGCCAUUGAUAUGUGGGGGUCGGAAUUUGAUUCCUGCCGCAAUUCUGCGGCUAUGCGCUGUAUUUUUUUUUCUGGCAGGUGGCUCGAUCGCCAAAUAACUUCAGUCUGAUAACUCGGGAAUAAAGAGGCCCUGCCGCACCAACUCUCAAACAUUGCCAGUGUGUCAUGCAGUUGCCUAGGAUUGUCGAUCUGUUACAACGAUUUUCUACCAGCCUGGCAUCGGUGUUUUCAUACGCCACUUUGUGGAGCACAUGCGCUUUAGCUCGCCUGAUGACAGUUCAGGAAUAAACGGAUAUUGAGUUA